CCAGAGGCAGGCAACACAGGGAAAAUUCUGGCACUGGCGCAUGUCAGAAAUCAUAAGGAAAAUGGCCUGUUACAGAGACCCUGAAACUGAGCAGCUUCCCUUCCUCAGAUCGUGCCGGAAUCAGAAAUCCUGAACCGCCCUGCCCUGGCCGCCUCUGGAGAGCUGGAAUCAUCAUCUUUGGAAGCCAAUGGAGAGAGAAAAGGUCCCUGCCUCUGCAGCAGGAAGAGUCCCAGGAUGGGUCAUGGUUCCUUGUACAACAGGAGGUGAGCUGAGCACAAAGUAACUCUCUUGAGCCCAGUCCAAUGAUGUUGCCAUCACACCUCACCUCCAGAAGGGAAGCAAUUGCCCAGGAUUCCACUGUUGAUAUCCCAGUAAUGAUGACUAGCAUUUCUUGUCCUGAGGCAUUAAGCCCUCUGCAGAGCACAUGCUGAAAGUAACCCCAUCAAUCCUCACACCAGCCUUGGGUGGGACGUUUUAUUGUUACGCGCAUUCUACAGAUGAAGAAACCAAGAUUCCUGAGUUAAGCACCUUGCCAACGUCAUAUAGCUGGGAAGUGAUGGAGCUGGGAUUUGCAAGUUGGCCCUUUGUCUCCAGAGCCCAUGACUCAGCCUCCACAGUCAGCGCUGCGGUGUCUGGUGGGAUGCUCUUGUCAACCAAGCCCGAUCCUACAGGAAAGCAGGAAAAAUCAGGAGAUUCUGCAGAUGAAAUGCUCCAAACACGUCCAACCAUAGAAGCUACCCGCUCAUUGAUUAUUGUUCUAUUUGGAAGAGUGAGCGUGCGCAUCUGUGUGUGUUGAGGAAGUGGUGAGAGGUUUCUUUAAGCAGACCUACAUCCCCUACGUGUGCCUUGUGCAGGACAGGAGGGCACUUAUGAGCACUGUUUCUGAGUCAGACUGUCUGCAUUCCAAUCCUGGAUUUCCCCGGGGAGCUUGAGGAUGUAACUUCACUUUUCUGUGCCUCGGUCUUCUCACCUGUAAAAUGGGAAUGAUAAUAUCACCUACUUUAUAAGAUUGCCCUGAGGAUUAAGUGAUUUAAUAGGUAAAAGCACUUAAACCAGUAUCUGGCAGACAGUAGGCACUCUACAAGUGUUAGGUAUAAUUAUUAUAUUCCCUUCUCUUCCCAUCAUCCGCCCCACCUGCAACUCAGCCAAGGUAAGCAAGCAAAUAUAUGUGCAUGUAUACACAUGUACUAGCUGCCUAGAACACUCUUUUCUGUGAUUGUUUCAUUUGUUUUUUUUUAAUAUCCUAAGUACUACAGGAGUACAAUCUCAUUUAAAAAAAAAAAAGCUUCAAACAAUGCUGGUGUGGUGGGUUAAGUGGCAUCCUCCAUUUGAAACCUCAGGAUGUGAUCUUAUUUAGAAAUAGGGUCUAAAGGGAUGCCUG